rnacentral:rRNA from 1 species
UGGGGAAUAUUGCACAAUGGGCGCAAGCCUGAUGCAGCCAUGCCGCGUGUGUGAAGAAGGCCUUCGGGUUGUAAAGCACUUUCAGCGAGGAGGAGGGGUAGUGUGUUAAUAGCACAUUGCAUUGACGUUACUCGCAGAAGAAGCACCGGCUAACUCCGUGCCAGCAGCCGCGGUAAUACGGAGGGUGCAAGCGUUAAUCGGAAUUACUGGGCGUAAAGCGCACGCAGGCGGUUUGUUAAGUCAGAUGUGAAA